rnacentral:rRNA from 1 species
GGACAUUACCAAAACUCUUGCGUAUCUUUGUCGUCUGAGUGAUUAUAUCAAUCAAAUUAAAACUUUCAACAACGGAUCUCUUGGUUCUGGCAUCGAUGAAGAACGCAGCGAAAUGCGAUAAGUAAUGUGAAUUGCAGAAUUCAGUGAAUCAUCGAAU